GAUGUUUUUUUUCUAGGUUCUUAUGUACUCAGGAGUAAUAUUUAUGAUAAUAUUAAGCUUCUUUUUUUUUCUGAAAUGGUCUUACCUCGAUCCUGGACUGCCCUCUAAGCAUUGCUAAAAAAUUUUGUUACCAGCGCACCAGUCUUUUACACCCCAUCAGUUUCGCACCAAUUCAGAAUAUGUGCUAAUCAUGUGACUACCCUCCACCAAUCAUACUGUGCCCUCUAUACUAGCACAGGAUAUUUUAUGUUUCUCAUGACUCCCAAGACCUGAAAAUCUUCAGUUACAUUGCAAGAGAGGGAGGAAGUAAUGUUUUCAAAUGCAGUGUAUUCAAGUCCAAGAAAAAAGUAAG